rnacentral:lncRNA from 1 species
GCUGGCUAGAAACUCAAUCUAAAAAAAAAAAAAAAGAAAAGCAAAACUUCAAGCAAACUGAAACUUACAUAUUUUUGUAAUUUCAGGGGUUGGAAUUUCCUGAACAAAAUGCAGACAGGCAGAAAUCUUACAAAACUGUCCAUACCGUUAUCUCAUCAGUCAACAGGUGUUUCGCCUAUGGCACUUUCCAGUAAGGAUGGUGCUGUUGACUUCCUACUGUGCCAACUUACAUUUCCUCUUCUGUCCAGUGCGCUAUAAAGAACACUGGUGUAGCUUCACAAUCAAGAUCUAACAAGACAAGGUGAUCGUGGUUCCCAGGAUGUGAUUUUUGGUUGG